UACGAAGGGGGCUAGCGUUGUUCGGAUUUACUGGGCGUAAAGCGCACGUAGGCGGACUCUUAAGUCGGUGGUGAAAUCCUGGAGCUCAACUCCAGAACUGCCUCCGAUACUGCGAGUCUCCGAGUCCGGGAGAGGUGAGUGGAACUGCGAGUGUAGAGGUGAAAUUCGUAGAUAUUCGCAAGAACACCAGUGGCGAAGGCGGCUCACUGGCCCGGUACUGACGCUGAGGUGCGAAAGCGUGGGGAGCAAACAGG
rnacentral:rRNA from 1 species